UACGUAGGGUGCAAGCGUUGUCCGGAAUUAUUGGGCGUAAAGAGCUUGUAGGCGGUUUGUCGCGUCUGCUGUGAAAUUUCGGGGCUCAACCCCGAACUUGCAGUGGGUACGGGCAGACUAGAGUGUGGUAGGGGAGACUGGAAUUCCUGGUGUAGCGGUGAAAUGCGCAGAUAUCAGGAAGAACACCUAUGGCGAAGGCAGCACUCUGGGACGGUACUGACGCUGAGACGCGAAGGCGUGGGGAGCGAACAGG
rnacentral:rRNA from 1 species